rnacentral:lncRNA from 1 species
GCUGGUGGGUGGCCUUGCUGCAUGUGAACUGGACCGUGGGCUGUGUGGUGGGCCCCUGGCUGGGAGCACCCGGUGUCUGUGUCCAGUUCCCUAGAGGCUGGUGGACAGAAGGUCCUCUAACGUCCCACGUGUACCCACGAUGGCCAACACCUGGGAGCUGAAUGAGGAGGGGGCUGUGGGCAGCAGCCCUGUGUGCAGGACUUGCUAUGCGAGUGAGGUCUGGCCACAUUCUGGAACAUGUCAUGCCCUCUCUAGAACCUGGUGUCCCUCAACUGUCACAGGCACCUGCGAGACAAGGUCAGGCCUUUGCCUGGAAGGCCUGGAGGGGAUCUGGAGCAUCUUCACCAUCCUGCCUAAUUUCAGCUCCACUCAGUCCCCAGCUCAGAGUGGCUGAUGCUGUUGUGCCCGGGGUUUGGAAGAUCCUGCACUCAUGUCCCUGAGGUCAGAGAAAAGAAGACCCAAGACGAAGGAACAGGGAAGUUUGCAUUAUUUCCCACAGUCCAGGAGAAAGAAGGUGCCAUUGGCAAGGCUAGUGGGAAGCUUGUGAAAACCGUGGAUUUAUCCUGGGAGACAGGGCUUUGGAUUCUCAGCCAUCCCAAGAUGCAGGGGGACUCGGGACCCAGACAGCCCAAGGGACGGUGCAGGGCGAGUUGGAAGGGGCUCUCCAGCAAAGGAGAUUAAAAAGUAAUUUAAAAUACUUACGACCAUGAAGAGUGUUUGGACUGGAAUUUAGGGAAAAUUAUUUCAUUCCCAGAAUCUGCUUUUAAUUAGUUCUGUAACUAAGGAGAUUAACUCAUCCUUCCAAAGCCCUGGCUUCCUCGUCUAAAUUGCAGAGCCCAGUGCCUAUAAUCCCCAGGUCUUUUCCUGCUCGAGAAUCUCCAUUGGAAGCUUUCAGCCAGGACAGCACUUCUCAAACGUCACCUGAAAACACAGGAGGUCCCAGGGUGAAGUCCCGCGCAGGGAGAUGCCACACAGCCAGGUGACUCGCUGCUUGCAGCCCUCCACCUGCGGGCUCUCCUUCCAACCCCCGAGAGCUUCCAAAAAGGGAGAUGACCCAGCUUCAUGUUUCUUUGUAUUUGAAAGAGAGAAAUAUGGAGAAGUAACAUGAUGACUGCCCACCCCGUCCCCAAAUGCGGGAUCGAGGUUUGAGCACAUGCAGUGUCCGCGGG